GGCAGCACAGAGGAGCUUGCUCCUUGGGUGGCGAGUGGCGGACGGGUGAGGAAUACAUCGGAAUCUACUUUUUCGUGGGGGAUAACGUAGGGAAACUUACGCUAAUACCGCAUACGACCUACGGGUGAAAGCAGGGGACCUUCGGACCUUGCGCGAUUGAAUGAGCCGAUGUCGGAUUAGCUAGUUGGCGGGGUAAAGGCCCACCAAGGCGACGAUCCGUAGCUGGUCUGAGAGGAUGAUCAGCCACACUGGAACUGAGACACGGUCCAGACUCCUACGGGAGGCAGCAGUGGGGAAUAUUGGACAAUGGGCGCAAGCCUGAUCCAGCCAUACCGCGUGGGUGAAGAAGGCCUUCGGGUUGUAAAGCCCUUUUGUUGGGAAAGAAAUCCAGCCGGCUAAUACCUGGUUGGGAUGACGGUACCCAAAGAAUAAGCACCGGCUAACUUCGUGCCAGCAGCCGCGGUAAUACGAAGGGUGCAAGCGUUACUCGGAAUUACUGGGCGUAAAGCG
rnacentral:rRNA from 1 species